GACGAACGCUGGCGGCGUGCCUAAUACAUGCAAGUAGAACGCUGAAGGAGGAGCUUGCUUCUCUGGAUGAGUUGCGAACGGGUGAGUAACGCGUAGGUAACCUACCUGGUAGCGGGGGAUAACUAUUGGAAACGAUAGCUAAUACCGCAUAAGAGUAGAUGUCGCAUGACAUUUGCUUAAAAGGUGCAAUUGCAUCACUACCAGAUGGACCUGCGUUGUAUUAGCUAGUUGGUGAGGUAACGGCUCACCAAGGCAACGAUACAUAGCCGACCUGAGAGGGUGAUCGGCCACACUGGGACUGAGACACGGCCCAGACUCCUACGGGAGGAAGCAGUAGGGAAUCUUCGGCAAUGGACGGAAGUCUGACCGAGAAACGCCGCGUGAGUGAAGAAGGGUUUCGGAUCGUAAAGCUCUGUUGUAAGAGAAGAACGAGUGUGAGAGUGGAAAGUUCACACUGUGACGGUAUCUUACCAGAAAGGGACGGCUAACUACGUG
rnacentral:rRNA from 1 species